UUCUCUCUAUCACCUUAUCUCUCUAGUUUCUCUUUUUACUUUCUCUCUACGAUAUUUUCUCACUCUAAAUUAUUUCUCUCGCUUGAUAAAUUUAUCUCUCUCUAUGAUUGAUCUAAUAAAAAGAUCUCUUUCAAUGAUUCUGAUAUGAUUCUAAUGAAGAGAGUCUUGAUUCAUGAUCGUCGGAUAGCAUAUCGACUUUCAUCUUGAUC
rnacentral:lncRNA from 1 species